rnacentral:rRNA from 1 species
CCUACGGGAGGCAGCAGUAGGGAAUCUUCCGCAAUGGACGAAAGUCUGACGGAGCAACGCCGCGUGAACGAUGAAGGCCUUCGGGUCGUAAAGUUCUGUUGUUAGGGAAGAACAAGUGCUAGUUGAAUAAGCUGGCACCUUGACGGUACCUAACCAGAAAGCCACGGCUAACUACGUGCCAGCAGCCGCGGUAAUACGUAGGUGGCAAGCGUUGUCCGGAAUUAUUGGGCGUAAAGCGCGCGCAGGCGGUUUCUUAAGUCUGAUGUGAAAGCCCCCGGGCUCAACCGGGGAGGGUCAUUGGAAACUGGGAAACUUGAGUGCAGAAGAGGAAAGUGGAAUUCCAAGUGUAGCGGUGAAAUGCGUAGAGAUUUGGAGGAACACCGGUGGCGAAGGCGACUUUCUGGUCUGUAACUGACGCUGAGGCGCGAAAGCGUGGGGAGCAAACAGGAUUAGAUACCCUGGUAGUCCACGCUGUAAACCGAUGAGUGCUAAGUGUUAGAGGGUUUUCCCGCCCUUUAGUGCUGAAGUUAACGCAUUAAGCNCNCGCCNGGNGAGUCGCAGANNAACACAAGAGUGNGNGNGNGNGNGCGAGCGCACGAGGGAGAG